AUGUAUACACAUUUUAAUAGCCUCCCAACUAGCCACCCUGUCUGCUUAAUUUUUUUUAUUUUUUUAUUUUUUUUUUAUUUUUUUUUUAUUUUUUUAUUUUUUUUUUAUUUUUUUAUUUUUUUUUUAUUGUUUAUACCAUCUUCCCACUUUUGUGUAGGUAAAUCCUAUAUUGCUGGUGUUACCUUCCUACUUCUUUUUUUUUCUUGUUUUCGUGAAAAAUUAAUAAUGAGGCUAACAGCCUUUCCGUUAAGAGAAAACUUUGCAUCGGUUUACUUGUGGUGCAACCUUCUACUGAUAUAUAUCAUUAUCAAGGAAAAACGGCAAAACUGUAUCUGGCACUACAUCUGCUUUUUAUUUUCGACAUUUUUUUUUUUUAUUGCUUGGCAAUUUUCUGUAUUUAUAUCGUUAACUACAAUAGUAUCAUUAUUUAUAGUAGACUUAUUAGGAUAUAAUAUAGAAUCUGUUUUUCAACGUUUACUAAGAGUAUAUGGGUGUUCAUAUAUAAUGUCAAUAUGUGUAUGUUUAUUUCCGAGGUACUUGAUACAUACAUAUUUUACUCAUGUAUUAAUUUCUUUGAUGAUAACUAUUUAUUUAUAUAGAACAAAAAAAAAUGUUAAUAAAAUAGGUGACACUACAAAAAAACAAUGUGGUGAUUAUACAUAUUCAAAAACCGAGUUAGAAAAAGCAGCUGUUGGUGGUGGUGGUGGUAAUGGUGGUGGUAAUGGUGGUGGUGUUGAUAAUUGUAGGGGUAAGCAAAAAGAAGUAAGCAAAAAAAAGAAUGUUAAAAAGUUUUUAAGUGAUCCUAACAUGGUUAAAUUACAGAAUAAAGAAAGAAGUGGUACUGAAACAAUGUUAAGUAAUAUAUAUAUAAUUAAAAAUUUAGGUUAUAUAUUAAAAAAAGGGAUUACAUCUUUAUUAAUAUUUAUAUGUUUUAGAUUAUUUUUAUUAAAAACUGAACAAGAUGAUUCACAUGUUAUGUCUUUAUUAAAAGUUCGUUUAAAAUUGUCUGAACAUAAUUUCGACAGUAUGAUAUAUAGUAUGGGUCAUGAAUUUAGACCAUUUUCUUUGUUUAUGUUUAACAUGCUUAAACAAACAGCAUUAUAUGAGUGUUUUAUAUUUUUAUCUUUUACAAUUUGUUUUUAUAUAAUAUUUUAUUUUUUUAAAAUGUUUAUUAUAUUUAGAAGAAAUAAUCAAAAUUAUAGAGAUAAAAAAAAUAAGUUUGGAAAUAUUACUAAUGGUAUAACUAGCGAAUCUAGUAUUAAUUUAUUUGAUGCAUCGUUUGUUUUUUUAAUUAUUCAGUUUUUAUUUUUCAUUGCAUUAAUGUGUAUAAUAGCAAGACUUCGUGUUUUGGCUUUACCAUUGUUAUGUGUGUUUUGCAGUAUGGUUGGUUCUCCUUAUUUUUUAAAUACAGUUUAUAAUUGUUCCCUCUCCGAUAAACCAAAAAAAGGGUUUAUGCAACAUCUCUUAAAAACCACGACCUACGUAAUAUGCCUCUCCGUAUGUAUUUACUCCAGUUUAAAAUAUUUCCCAUCAUAUGAAUAUAUAAAUAUAUCAAGUAAUGAAAGUACAACACUUGAAUAUAAUUUAAGUCUUAUCGAGUGGAUGAAAUAUAACAUAAAACCAGGAGAACCGAUAAUAACAGAUAUACCAACAUCGAGUUUUAUAAGAGCAACUACUGAUUAUAAACUUAUUUUACAUCCACAAUAUGAAGAUAAAGAUUUAAGAAAACGGGUACGAGAUUAUUAUUUAUUUGCAUCAUGUUUACAUUUUACUGAUGCAAAAAAAUAUUUUUAUGAAAAAUAUAAAGUUCGUUAUUUUGUUAGUAAUAUAUAUCGUUGUAUGUCCAAAAAUUCAAAAAAUAUUCCAAAUACUGGUAUAACUACAACUAAUAUAUCUGAUAUACAAAUUGAUGUAUUCACAUUAGCAGAUAAAGUAGAAGCAAAUUAUUCGAAAUGUAAAAAUCCAAAUACAAUGCGUUUUUGUCAAAGAGUUUUAUAUGAUGAUAAAAAUUAUCAAACAAUUUAUCGAAAUGGAAAAUAUAAUGUAAUUUAUUUUAAUCCAUUAGUUAUAGAAGAUAAUACUCCAUAUGAAUUUUUUUAUGAACAGAAAUAUAAUAAUAUAAAUUAUUAUUUACCUUGGAUAAAUAGAUGUAAAAAAAAUGAGCGUAACAGAUGUGUUUUAAGUAUACUUAAUGUAUCUAGAAUUCUAUUAGAUGUAUUAAAACAAAAAAAAAUGAGUAAAAUAUUGUACAAUUAUAUAAAAUCCAAUUUUAAUAUUAAUACUAAUGUAAAUGCUUUAUUUCAUUUAGCACAGUUUUACGAUUUCGAUUUAAAUGACUUUUCUACUGCCCAUAUCUAUUAUAAAUACGUUUUAAAUAUUAUUACUAAAGAAAAUAUGUUUUUUAUAAAUAGCGAUACAAACAUUAGUAUACAAAAUGAGUCAUUAAAUAAUAUAUCUUCUUUAUCUCUUCCA
rnacentral:lncRNA from 1 species